rnacentral:tRNA from 1 species
UUAAUUGAAGCCAAAGGGGGGAGGCGCCUUAAUGUUAAUAAGGUUAUUGAUGUUUUUCCAAUUAAA